rnacentral:rRNA from 1 species
GGCAGAUCCAAUUCUCUGCCACCGAAUACAUUAGCAUGGGAUAAUGGAAUAGGACCCUGUCCUCCUAUUUUCAGUUGGUUUUGGCAGCGCGAGGACUAGGGUAAUGAUUAAUAGGGAUAGUUGGGGGCAUUAAUAUUUAAUUGUCAGAGGUGAAAUUCUUGGAUUUAUGAAAGAUUAACUUCUGCGAAAGCAUCUGCCAAGGAUGUUUUCAUUAAUCAAGAACGAAAGUUAGGGGAUCGAAGACGAUCAGAUACCGUCGUAGUCUUAACCAUAAACGAUGCCGACCAGCGAUUAGGAGACGUUGAAUACAAAACACCACCAUCGGUGCGGUCGUUCUUGGCGUCGGUUUCGGCCGGCGCGGGAGCGGCUUAGCCCGGUGGCACCGGUGAAUGACUCCCCUAGCAGCUUGUGAGA